ACCUGUUGUUGGUUAUCUUUUUGUCGUGCAAAUAACUUUACAAGAAAAGCAGAGAUUUAAAAUGCACGUCUAGGUAAGCUUAGGGAACAUGCAGAGUCCUUGUUCUUUCUUGUAAGCCACAGAGGAGCAUUGCAUGGAGCAGAGGUCAUCAGGCAUCUGUUCCACAUGUGCACUUCAUGCCAAAAUACUUCUUAAUCCCAGAGAAUGUAAAGCAGAGCCGAGCUUUUACUCUCCAUCCAUUCCUGUGGCACAUAUCUACCCAGAAUAUACUGAAAGCACCUGCAAGUGGGAAAAGCUUCCGACUAGGGCAUUUAUUUUUCUUUCAGACUCAUGUUUGCACACAGCUUUUAUUAUUUGAGAGAAAUACCCCUCUGAAACCAACCUGCUUGUGUUUUUUAUUGAGACAACAUGGUGACUGA
rnacentral:lncRNA from 1 species